GACGAACGCUGGCGGCGUGCUUAACACAUGCAAGUCGAACGGAAAGGCCCUGCUUUUGUGGGGUGCUCGAGUGGCGAACGGGUGAGUAACACGUGAGUAACCUGCCCUUGACUUUGGGAUAACUUCAGGAAACUGGGGCUAAUACCGGAUAGGAGCUCCUGCUGCAUGGUGGGGGUUGGAAAGUUUCGGCGGUUGGGGAUGGACUCGCGGCUUAUCAGCUUGUUGGUGGGGUAGUGGCUUACCAAGGCUUUGACGGGUAGCCGGCCUGAGAGGGUGACCGGCCACAUUGGGACUGAGAUACGGCCCAGACUCCUACGGGAGGCAGCAGUGGGGAAUAUUGCACAAUGGGCGGAAGCCUGAUGCAGCAACGCCGCGUGCGGGAUGACGGCCUUCGGGUUGUAAACCGCUUUCGCCUGUGACGAAGCGUGAGUGACGGUAAUGGGUAAAGAAGCACCGGCUAACUACGUGCCAGCAGCCGCGGUGAUACGUAGGGUGCGAGCGUUGUCCGGAUUUAUUGGGCGUAAAGGGCUCGUAGGUGGUUGAUCGCGUCGGAAGUGUAAUCUUGAGGCUUAACCCUGAGCGUGCUUUCGAUACGGGUUGACUUGAGGAAGGUAGGGGAGAAUGGAAUUCCUGGUGGAGCGGUGGAAUGCGCAGAUAUCAGGAGGAACACCAGUGGCGAAGGCGGUUCUCUGGGCCUUUCCUGACGCUGAGGAGCGAAAGCGUGGGGAGCGAACAGGCUUAGAUACCCUGGUAGUCCACGCUGUAAACGGUGGGUACUAGGUGUGGGGUCCAUUCCACGGGUUCCGUGCCGUAGCUAACGCUUUAAGUACCCCGCCUGGGGCGUACGGCCGCAAGGCUAAAACUCAAAGGAAUUGACGGGGCCCCGCACAAGCGGCGGAGCAUGCGGAUUAAUUCGAUGCAACGCGUAGAACCUUACCUGGGUUUGACAUGGAUCGGGAGCGCUCAGAGAUGGGUGUGCCUCUUUUGGGGUCGGUUCACAGGUGGUGCAUGGCUGUCGUCAGCUCGUGUCGUGAGAUGUUGGGUUAAGUCCCGCAACGAGCGCAACCCUUGUUCACUGUUGCCAGCACGUUAUGGUGGGGACUCAGUGGAGACCGCCGGGGUCAACUCGGAGGAAGGUGGGGAUGACGUCAAGUCAUCAUGCCCCUUAUGUCCAGGGCUUCACGCAUGCUACAAUGGCUGGUACAGAGAGUGGCGAGCCUGUGAGGGUGAGCGAAUCUCGGAAAGCCGGUCUCAGUUCGGAUUGGGGUCUGCAACUCGACCUCAUGAAGUCGGAGUCGCUAGUAAUCGCAGAUCAGCAACGCUGCGGUGAAUACGUUCCCGGGGCU
rnacentral:rRNA from 1 species